rnacentral:rRNA from 1 species
AGAGACAGCAGUAGCCACGGGAAAACGGAGGGAGCUAGCGUUAUUCGGAAUUACUGGGCGUAAAGCGCACGUAGGCGGCUUUGUAAGUUAGAGGUGAAAGCCUGGAGCUCGACUCCGGAAUUGCCUUUAAGACUGCCGAGCUAGUAGGUGAGAGAGGUAAGUGGAAUUCCGAGUGUAGAGGUGAAAUUCGUAGAUAUUCGGAAGAACACCAGUGGCGAAGGCGGCUUACUGGCUCAUUCUAGACGCUGAGGUGCGAAAGCGUGGGGAGCAAACAGGAUUAGAUACCCGCGUAGUCCCUGUCUCUUAUAC